GGGGCUGUAGCUCAGCUGGGAGAGCGCCUGGAUCGCACCCAGGAGGCCAGGGGUUCGAGCCCCCUCAGCUCCA
rnacentral:tRNA from 1 species